rnacentral:rRNA from 1 species
UACGAAGGGGGCUAGCGUUGCUCGGAAUCACUGGGCGUAAAGCGCACGUAGGCGGCCUACUAAGUCAGGGGUGAAAUCCUGGAGCUCAACUCCAGAACUGCCUUUGAUACUGGUGGGCUUGAGUCCGGGAGAGGUGAGUGGAACUGCGAGUGUAGAGGUGAAAUUCGUAGAUAUUCGCAAGAACACCAGUGGCGAAGGCGGCUCACUGGCCCGAUACUGACGCUGAGGUGCGAAAGCGUGGGGAGCAAACAGG